rnacentral:rRNA from 1 species
GACGAACGCUGGCGGCGUGCCUAAUACAUGCAAGUAGAACGCAGUUGCGAACGGGUGAGUAACGCGUAGGUAACUGCCUCAUAGCGGGGGAUAACUAUUGGAAACGAUAGCUAAUACCGCAUACUGUGAGAUGGACCUGCGUUGUAUUAGCUAGUUGGUGAGGUAAGGCUCACCAAGGCGACGAGACAUAGCCGACCUGAGAGGGUGGUGCGCCACACUGGGACUGAGACACGGCCCCGACUCCUACCGGAGGCAGCAGGUGAGAAUCGUCGGAAAUGGACGGAAGUCUGGCCGAGCAACGCCGCGUGAGAGAAGAAGGUUCUCCGAGCGUAAAGCUCUGUUGUUAGAGGAGCGGGAACUAACCAGAAAGCGCCGGCUAACUACGUGCCAGCCGCCGCGGUAAUUC